UACGGGGGGGGCAAGCGUUGUCCGGAAUCAUUGGGCGUAAAGAGCGCGUAGGCGGUCCGGUAAGUCCGCUCUGAAAGUCCGGGGCUCAACCCCGGGAGCGGGCGGAUACUGUCGGGCUAGAGUCCGGAAGAGGCGAGUGGAAUUCCUGGUGUAGCGGUGAAAUGCGCAGAUAUCAGGAGGAACACCCAAUGGCGAAGGCAGCUCGUUGGGACGGUACUGACGCUGAGGCGCGAAAGCGUGGGGAGCAAACAGG
rnacentral:rRNA from 1 species